rnacentral:rRNA from 1 species
CAGUCGCCGCGGUAAUACGAAGGGUGCAAGCGUUACUCGGAAUUACUGGGCGUAAAGCGUGCGUAGGUGGUGGUUUAAGUCCGUUGUGAAAGCCCUGGGCUCAACCUGGGAAUUGCAGUGGAUACUGGGUCACUAGAGUGUGGUAGAGGAUAGUGGAAUUUCCGGUGUAGCAGUGAAAUGCGUAGAGAUCGGAAGGAACAUCUGUGGCGAAGGCGACUAUCUGGGCCAACACUGACACUGAGGCACGAAAGCGUGGGGAGCAAACAGGAUUAGAUACCCCCGAGUCCCUGUCUCUUAUACC